CAUGUACUUCCUCCGUCCGGAAAUACUUAUCGAUGAAAUGGAUGUAUCUAGACAUAUUUUAGUUCUAGAUACAUCCGAUUUUAUCUAUUUGUGCGACAAGUAUUUCUGGACGGAGGGAGUAGAUG
rfam:Triticum aestivum genome assembly, contig: Triticum_aestivum_CS42_TGACv1_scaffold_526455_6DL